rnacentral:misc_RNA from 1 species
GUUUUCUUCUUCACCGAUUUCCAGGUUUUGGAGCUUGACGUCGAUUGGAUUGACUUUUAUAGUGGCUGGUCAAUCAGAAUGGAGUCUCGGGCUGAUUUUGUACAAUGUCUUGGAAGUGACAUGUCAAUUAAUAUUCUGGCAUGUUUGAAUGAGCCAGUAGAUGUGGUCCGUGCAGGCUCCGUCUCAAGACUUUGGCACCAUUUUGUGAUUACGAAUGGGAUUUCCAAGAAACUAUGUCUGAAAAGGUUUCCUCAGCUUUCUGGGAUUGCACGUAUAACUGAACCAGAUUGGAUAACAACAGAAGCAAAUGGUGCUGGAUCCAACAAUUCCAGUUGGGAUAUUCUGAAGAGAGACCACAAUGUUUAUGCUUCUCUCCUUCAUGCUAUUACAACAUUAAACACAUGUCAGUGUGAAUGCAUAGCAUAUGCAGUUAGUGCUUCUAGUACAGAUAGAUUUCCUGCCGAAAGUGUUGCCAAUACUUUAACAACUAGGAGAUAUCUUGGUGGACAUUCAUACUGGUCAAGUAAAGGACAUGCUGAUCCAGAUUCCCCCGAGACAUUAAUUUACAAAUUGAAAGCCGAUCUGUGUGUUAUUAGUGAAAUUAGUGUACAACCUUUUGAAGCUUUUUACCAGCCCGGCCAGCCUAUAUACUCUGCAAAAUCUGUUCGAUUUCGGUUAGGACACCCCAAAAAUUCACUAGACGAAAAUGAUGUCCUGCAAAUGCCUCAGCAACAGGCUGCUGAUGACAAGUUUAUAUGGACGUAUACAUCAGAAGUAUACCCUAUGGAACAGAAAAACUGCUUGCAGCAGUACAAGCUACCAGAACCAGUGCUUUGCAUUGGUGGAUAUCUGCAGAUUGAAC